rnacentral:rRNA from 1 species
CCUACGGGUGGCAGCAGUGGGGAAUAUUGCUCAAUGGGGGAAACCCUGAAGCAGCAACGCCGCGUGGGGGAUGAAGGUUUUCGGAUUGUAAACCCCUUUUGGUAGGGAAGAAAAUGACGGUAUCUGACGAAUAAGCACCGGCUAACUCCGUGCCAGCAGCCGCGGUAAUACGAAGGGUGCAAGCGUUAUUCGGAAGUACUGGGCGUAAAGGGAGCGUAGGCGGGAUAGCAAGUCUGAUGUGAAAGCCUUGGGCUUAACCCUAGGACUGCAUUUGAAACUGUUAUUCUGGAGUUUGGGAGAGGUAGGUGGAAUUCUUGGUGUAGGGGUGAAAUGCGUAGAGAUCAAGAGGAAUACUCAUUGCGAAGGCGACCUGCUGGAACACAACUGACGCUGAUGCGCGAAAGCGUGGGGAGCAAACAGGAUUAGAUACCCGGGUAGUC